AUUUGGAUAUAUCAACAAAGUUGAAAUGGUAAAUUGGCCACCGUAACGAAAGCUGUUCUUGUUUCAAAUUUUUGUAGGCGACGGAAACGUGACUGGAAAAUUUGAAUUGGAUUACGAUGAAAGUGAAGAAAACGCAAACGACGAAGAGGAAGAAACUGAGACUGUUGUGCCGUGGAAUUCCAUGAUUGAUCCCGUUUUUGUCUAGUAACUGAGAUUGGUACACCAUUGGUACACCCAUUCCUUUCUCUUCGACCGAUAUCGCCGUGUAAAUGAUAGACAACUUGGCAGGACAGCAUUACACCAGGAAGGACGUGGAGCAAACGAGGAAACUGGAACGGAGUAAUCCCGAAUUUCUUUCGAUACUCAAUUUAAAACUACUCAGUGGAGCGUAUUAUGUAGAGUGAUUUUAGGCGCUCGAUGAAAAAUUUUCUGUUGGUCUCGACUGUCAAGAAAACGAAAAGGAUUCAAGCUGCGGUGUAGGGAAGUUUGUAAGAAACUAAGUUGCGUUUGAUUCUCUCGCAUUAAUGAAGCGAGCAAAUCACGAAAGAAGUCAAUAAAACUGUUGUAAUAUUAAA